rnacentral:rRNA from 1 species
CUUUCCCUCUGGCGGCAGGCCUAACACAUGCAAGUCGAACGGUAACAGGAAACAGCUUGCUGUUUCGCUGACGAGUGGCGGACGGGUGAGUAAUGUCUGGGAAACUGCCUGAUGGAGGGGGAUAACUACUGGAAACGGUAGCUAAUACCGCAUAACGUCGCAAGACCAAAGAGGGGGACCUUCGGGCCUCUUGCCAUCGGAUGUGCCCAGAUGGGAUUAGCUAGUAGGUGGGGUAACGGCUCACCUAGGCGACGAUCCCUAGCUGGUCUGAGAGGAUGACCAGCCACACUGGAACUGAGACACGGUCCAGACUCCUACGGGAGGCAGCAGUGGGGAAUAUUGCACAAUGGGCGCAAGCCUGAUGCAGCCAUGCCGCGUGUAUGAAGAAGGCCUUCGGGUUGUAAAGUACUUUCAGCGGGGAGGAAGGGAGUAAAGUUAAUACCUUUACUCAUUGACGUUACCCGCAGAAGAAGCACCGGCUAACUCCGUG